rnacentral:rRNA from 1 species
AUUCCUACGGGACGCAGCAGUGAGGAAUAUUGGUCAAUGGCCGAGAGGCUGAACCAGCCAAGUCGCGUGAGGGAAGACGGCCCUACGGGUUGUAAACCUCUUUUGUCAGGGAGCAAUGGCGUCCACGUGUGGGCGUAUGGAGAGUACCUGAAGAAAAAGCAUCGGCUAACUCCGUGCCAGCAGCCGCGGUAAUACGGAGGAUGCGAGCGUUAUCCGGAUUUAUUGGGUUUAAAGGGUGCGUAGGCGGGCCCUUAAGUCAG